GUGUUCGCUACGGCAGCACAUAUACUAAAAUUGGAACGAUACAGAGAAGAUUAGCAUGGCCCCUUUGCGCAGGGGCCAUGCUAAUCUUCUCUGUAUCGUUCCAAUUUUAG